CUUCUCAACCAGACGCCUGAGUUACAGUUAAUGUCACCAAUGUUAACCCUAGAAGGCACCUUGACAGCCAUCUCUCCAUCUCUCCUGCCCUCAUUUACUGAUGAGCAGAAAAACCAUGGCGAUAACAAAGGACAUUAUUGGAUAACACUCUGGGGUCCAGACCCCAGGAAGUUUAUACUGCAAAUGAGCUGCUCAGUACCUCCCCCACGGCCAGUGCUGUCUACUUCCCAUCCUUUGAGUCAGCGUUCAGGACCCCCAGAGAAGGCUAUUCUUAUUUUCCAAGCCAUUGUUCAUGGACUGGCCUGUCAUAAGACAUGAAGCUUCAUUGCAAACAUCUCCACUCCUCACCUCCUCAUGUGCUCAGCAACCUUCUCAGUGGAGUAACUGUAAAGUCCAUUCUCAUAAAAACCCCAAGGAUGUAAACCCCGCAGGAUUGAGUUUAUUAAAGUAAAACCCGAAACAAAAUCCCUA